GCGCUUUACUCAGCACACCAGCGACUGUAACAAUGUUCCGUUCCUCGUUUGUUUAAUUUGAUUACUCCCCACCUCGCUUCCAUUCCUCUGCUUACUUUCCUUGUGUUUAAAUACCCUGGUUGUUUAGUUCCUCCUGGUCCGCUAUUGUUUAUUAUUGAGUGUUUGAUUUACCUGGAUUAUUAAAAUACCCUGUUAUACCUUCUUCUCCGAGCGCUUUACUCAGCACACCAGCGACUGUAACAGAAUAGCGGACCAAAACAGUUUAGCGGCGUUUUUCUUUUUGUUUUUUUUGUUUUGUUUUCCCCCCUCUCGGAAUGGCAAGCCCCAGUAGUCCAACUCCUGUGCCUGGAGCAACUGGAUCGUUCGCUGGAGGACCAUACCAGGGACUUUUUCGAUCUGGCAUGUCUUACGGACUUCCCUGACCGCUCGCUCUGUGCAUUCUACUAUGCUGGCCUGAGCGAGCGGUGUAAGGCAUGCCUCCCAGCGAACGGUCCCAGAGAGGAUUUCGUCGCUUUCGUGGAGUGGGUGCUGGAGAAAAAUGGAUCCCCAUUUACCAUCUGCACCGCCGAAGAGGAUAUCUCCAGCCCCACUCCCGAACCGGAGACCAGCCAGCCGCCAUCCCGCCGCACGGAGCUAGAGCCCACCGCAGCCGCAGAGCCCGUCCAGCCCUGACCCUCCUGUUUCUCCGCUGGUUCCGCCCAGCCCUGACAAUCCUGUGUUCCCUCCCAACCUCCCUCUCCCGCCUCCUCCUAGACAUGUCAGUUCCUCUGCUCCUCUUCCGCUGGUUCCGUCCAGCCCUGACCCUCCUGUUUCUCCGCUGGUUCCAUCCAGCCCUGAUCCUCCUAGACCAGCCAGUUCCUCGACCUCAUCUCCGCUGGUGCCAGUCAGUCCCGCAGCUCACCCUCAGUCCGCGCCAUCUGGGCGCGAUGGUUCGCCGCAGGACUUCCAGUCUCCAGCUCCGCCUUGGCGUGUGGAUUCCCUGUCUCCGCCUCCAGCCUCCGAGCCCUGGACUCCUCCUCGGUCCUUCGACCCGGCGGCUCCACCUUGGCUCUUAG
rnacentral:lncRNA from 1 species